ensembl:snRNA U6 U6 spliceosomal RNA
GUGCUUGCUUCGGCAGCACGUAUACUAAAAUUGGGAAAAGAGAAGAUUAGCAUGGCCUUUGCAAAAAGAUGAUACACAAAUUCAUGAAGCAUUCCAUAUUUUU